rnacentral:rRNA from 1 species
UACGUAGGGUGCGAGCGUUGUCCGGAAUUAUUGGGCGUAAAGAGCUCGUAGGCGGUCUGUCACGUCGGCUGUGAAACCCGGGGCUCAACCCCGGGCCUGCAGUCGAUACGGGCAGACUAGAGUGCGGUAGGGGAGACUGGAAUUCCUGGCGUAGCGGUGAAAUGCGCAGAUAUCAGGAGGAACACCAGUGGCGAAGGCGGGUCUCUGGGCCGUAACUGACGCUGAGGAGCGAAAGCGUGGGGAGCGAACAGG